GACUGGGGCGGACACCAGAGUGAGGCCCCUCCUUCCAGGGGCGGGGCAAGCAGACGGGCGGGGCGGGCGCGGGAGCAAACCUCUGAGUCACCGGCCACCAACGCCCGGGAGGGAGGGUGGUGUCGCUUACCGCCUGGACCCGGAGCGCACCACCCCCUGAGCAGAAGAACUGGUCCACCAGCGCCUCGGCGCCCAGCGGGCAAGUGGUCAGAUGGUCUGGCCAAGUGAGCAGAGAUUUCGCUUUCCUGUCCUUUCUUCAUUGCAUACAUCCCCAAUACCAAGAGAAGUACUAUAUUUAGAGAAGCUUCUGCUUUUAAGUUCUAGAAAUUUAGACUCUGCCUCGGCCUCCACCACUGAUAUACUAUGAAAAUUAAAUGCGUCAUUUCAUGUAAAGGAUUUAGAACAGCACAUGGCACAUAGCAUGCGGGAUCCUAGCUCCCCAACCAGGGAUUGAACCCUCACCCCCUGCAUUGAAAGGCGAAGUCUUAACCACUGGACCGCCAGGGAAGUCCCCAGCCAGUCAUUCUUAUGCAGAGAUUUGUAACCUCGUUUCUGCAGCAUCUAAUUGAGCAUCAAAUGUUCUCAACUGAUGAUAAAAGUCACAAAACAAAAUUAAUUUGCAUCCACUUUAUCACAAGCAAUCACAACAAAUAUUGAUAACCUGUUUUAUGCCAGUCACUAUGCUAUGGUGAUACAGCAAUGAACAAGACAGGCAGUGUCUUCCUUGGAGGCCUAUGGCCUAGCAGGGAAGAUAAAAUACAUAUAAAUAAUUAAAUAACCACAAGCUGGAAGGCCAAAGGGCAUAUAUAACAAUGAGAAUUGACCUAGCCUGAGAUGAAUAGAGAAGUCCUAGUGACAGUUAGGGAAUUCCCUGUUGGUCCAGUGAUUAGGACUCUGCCUUUCCACUGCAGGGGGCAUGGGUUCUUUUUCUGGUCGGGGAACUAAGAUCCUUCAUGCCGCUUCGUGGCCAAGGGGAAAAACAAAAGUGACAGUUAAGUUGAAAGCUACAUGAAUAGAAUUUAGCUAGGCAAAGAGAGAAAGCAAAAUGUUUCUGCCAGAGAAAACAGCAUAUGCGAGUGCACUGAGGCAGAAGAAGCCUGUGAGAAAGUUUGUAGAAUUUUCUUGUUUGACUACGAGAAAGUGUAGAGAUUCAGAAGCAGUCUAGCAAAGAAGAUGCUGCAGAGGUAGGCAGGUAGGCAUUGGAGGCCAAAGUAGGAGUUUUUGAACUUUAUUUUGAUAGAUUUGCUAGAUAAAAUACAGGAUGUUGAAUUAAAUGUAUAUUUCAGAUAUAUACCUGAAAUUUAUAUUUCAGAUAAACAAUAUUUUAGCAUAAGUCCCAAAUAUUACACUGAACAUACUUUACACUAAAAAAAUUAUCUGUUAUUUAUAUGAAAUUUAAAUUUAACUGGACAUCCUGCUUGCAAAACCUGGCAACUCCAUUUUAAUAGCAAUGUGAGGUCUGAAAGGCAAAGGAGGGAAAUGAUAAAAUUUGCUUGUUGAAAAAUUACUAAUUAUAGAGUGGAAGAUGUAUUUGAGGCAGAGCAAAAGUACAUGAGAAGAUCUUGAUCAGUCCCUCUUUCUUAAACCUUCUCUUCCUUUGCCUUCUUAUGUAAUCACACCUGGUUUCUCUCCCAUCUCUCUACUACUCCAUAGUCUCCUUUAGUCGGUCCACCUUUUUUUUUUUUUGCGGUACGCUGGCCUGUCACUGCUGUGGCCUCUCCCCUUGCGGAGCAUGGGCUCCGAACGUGCAGGCUCAGCGGCCAUGUCUCACGGGCCCAGCCACUUGGCAGCAUGUGGGAUCUUCCUGGACCGGGGCACGAACCCGCGUCCCCUGCAUUGGCAGGCGGACUCUCAACCACUGCGCCACCAGGGAAGCCCCGGUGUACCUAUUUUAUUAGACAUUUAAAUGUUGGUGUUCUAAGACUGACCACAGAGUUUGCAAGGAUAUGGAGCAACUAGUUUUUUCAUGUGUUGUUAGUAAGAGUGUGAAAUGCUUUGGAAAAAGGUUUGGAAGUUUCUUAUAAAAACAAAACAUCUAUGAUCUAGCCAUCCCACUUGUGGGUAUAUAUUCAAAAGAAUUGAAAGCAGGAUCUCAAAGAGAUAUUUGCACACCCAUGUUCACUGCAGUCUUUUUAAAAAAAUUUAUUUAUCAUUGCAGUCUUAUUCACAUUAGACAAGGGGUAGAAGUAGUCCAAUGUUCCUCUACUGAUGACUGGAUAAAGGAAGUGUGGUAUAUACACAGAUGGAAUAUUAUUUAGCCUUAAGAAAGAAGGAGGGCUUCCCUGGUGGCACAGUGGUUAAGAAUCCGCCUGCCAAUACAGGGGACACGGGUUUGAUCCCUGGUCCGGGAAGAUCCCACAUGCCGCAGAGCAACUAAGCCCGUGCACCACAACUACUGAGCCUGCGCUCUAGAGCCUGCAAGCCACAACUUCUGAGCCUGUGUGCCACAGCUACUGAAGCCCGCGCCUAGAGCCCGUGCUCUGCAACAAGAGAAGCCACCGCAAUGAGAAGCCUGCGCACCGCAACGAAGAAUAGCCCCCACUCGCCGCAACUAAGAAAGCCGGUGUGCAGCAACGAAGACCCAACGCAGCCAAAAGUAAAUUAAAAAAAGAAAGAAAGAAAGAAAGAAAAAUCCUGUCACAUGCUGCAACAUGGAUGGACCUUGAGGAUAUUAUGUGAAGUGAAAUAAACCAGUCAUGAAAAGACAAAUACCGUAUGGUUCCAUGGUAUCUAGAUUAGGUCAAAUUCAUGGAAACAUAGAGUGGAGUAGUGGUUGCCGGGGAGGGAAGAGGGGAAAGUUGGGAGUUGCUUAACGGGUAUAGAGUUUCAGUUUUGCAAGAUGAAAAAGUUCUAGAGAUCUGUUACACAACAACGUGAGUAUAGUUAACACCACUGAACUGAACACUUAAAAAUGGUUAUGGGGGUAAAUUAAUUUGUGUUUUUUCUCAUAAUUUAAAAAAUUAUUUAAAAAAUACUAUUAUAGAAGGAUGCAAAAAUCCUGUCCAUGCAAGGGAGUUUCUUGACUCCUUGAGUAGCUUUUGCAGACUGUAAAUUGGAUUUUCCUCAUCAUGUGACCUCAAAAGAAUUCAGACAUAUUUAAUCCAGAAACAAAUUUCAAUUAGGGGAAGGAUUGCAAGUCUAUAAACAUCAUUUUGCUUCUAGAUUAGCUGGAUAUACAGAAGGAGUUUUCUAUAUUUACAUAUAUUUAACACAAAUGAUCAUGGAACAGUACUUGUGUAAAUAUAAUGGGUGGGGGUUCAGAUCAGGACAAUGCCUGGGAUGGAUUCUUGUGCUAUGAUGCUAACAUGUAAAAUAAAGAUUCUAUCACAAAAGAACAAAAACGAAACUAAACUAAACCAGAGCAACCAUCUACCGACCUUCUGACUCACGAGCAAUUCCACUUCUAGAUAUUUACUCAAGAGAAGUGAAAACAUACGUCCACAAAGAUUUAUACAGAAAUGCUCAUAGCAGCUUCAUUCAUGAUGGUAUCACACUGGAAAUAGCAUUUAAGUGUCCAUCAAUAGAAGAAAAGCUAAACAAACCAUGGUGUAGCCAUACAAUAAAAUAAGACUCAUCAAGAAAAAGGAACAAACUAAUCAUACAUGCAACAACAGGAAUGAAUCUCAAAAAUAAUAUGCUGAAUAAAAGAAACCUUACAUACAAGAAAGAGUAUAUACUGUAUGAUUCCAUUUAUAUGAAGUUCCAGAAGGCAAUCUUUGGUGGAAAAAUAUCAGAAUUAUGGUUGCUUCUAUGGAAGAGGGGAUAGAGACUGACUGGAAAGGGACUUGCGGGGAUUUUCUAGGGUAAUCAUAAUGGCUAAAUAUUGAUAGGAAUUUGCAUUAAAUAGGCAAGUAUGCAUUUGUUGAAAUUCAGCAAAUAGUGCAUUUAGGGUUGGCACAUUUCAUUAUAUGUAAAUUUCAACUUAAAAAAGAACCAUAUCCUUAAAAAACUAAAAAUAGAACUACCGUAUGACCCAGCAAUCCCAGUACUGGCCGUAUACCCCGAGAAAACCAUAAUUCAAAAAGAGUCAUGUACCACAAUAUUCAUUGCAGCACUAUUUACAAUAGCCAGGAUUUGGAAGCAACCUAAGUGUCCAUCAAAAGAUGAAUGGAUAAAGAGGAUGUGGCACACGUAUACAGUGGAAUAUUACUCAGCCAUAGAAAGAAAUGAAAUUGAGUUAUUUGUAGUGAGGGGGAUGGACCUAGAGUCUGUAAUACAGAAUGAAGUAAGUCAGAAAGAGAAAAACAAAUACUGUAUGCUAACACAUAUAUAUGGAAUCUAAAAAAAAAAAAAAUGGUUCUGAAGAACCUAGGGGCAGGACAGGAAUAAAGACACAGAUGUAGAGAAUGGACUUGAGAACACGGGGAUGGGGAAGGGUAAGCUGGGAUGAAGUGAGAGAGUAGCAUUGUCAUAUAUACAUUACCAAAUGUAAAAUAGAUAGCUAGUGGGAAGCAGCUGCAUAGCACCGGGAGAUCAGCUCGGUGCUUUGCGACCACCUAGAGGGGUGGGAUAAGGAGUGGGGAUGGAGAUGCAAGAGAGAGGGGAUAUGGAGAUAUAUGUAUGCAUAUAGCUGAUUCACUUUGUUAUACAGCAGAA